rnacentral:rRNA from 1 species
CGGUAAUACGUAGGGUGCGAGCGUUGUCCGGAAUUAUUGGGCGUAAAGGGCUCGUAGGCGGUUUGUCGCGUCGGGAGUGAAAACGCCGUGCUUAACACGGCGCUUGCUUUCGAUACGGGCAGACUAGAGGUAUUCAGGGGAGAACGGAAUUCCUGGUGUAGCGGUGAAAUGCGCAGAUAUCAGGAGGAACACCGGUGGCGAAGGCGGUUCUCUGGGAAUGACCUGACGCUGAGGAGCGAAAGUGUGGGGAGCGAACAGGAUUAGAUACCCUGGUAGUCCACACCGUCCACGUUGGGCGCUAGGUGUGGGGUCCAUUCCACGGAUUCCGUGCCGCAGCUAACGCAUUAA